UUCGCCUAAGCCAUGCGAGUCAUAUGUAGCAAUACAUGGCGUACUGCUCAGUAACACGUGGAUAACCUGCCCUUGGGUCCGGCAUAACCCCGGGAAACUGGGGAUAAUUCCGGAUAACGCAUAUAUGCUGGAAUGCUUUCUGCGUAAAAUGGAUUCGUCUGCCCAAGGAUGGGUCUGCGGCCUAUCAGGUAGUAGUGGGUGUAAUGUACCUACUAGCCUACGACGGGUACGGGUUGUGAGAGCAAGAGCCCGGAGAUGGAUUCUGAGACAUGAAUCCAGGCCCUACGGGGCGCAGCAGGCGCGAAAACUUUACAAUGCGGGAAACCGUGAUAAGGGGACACCGAGUGCCAGCAUCCUAUGCUGGCUGUCCGGGUGUGUAAAAUACACCUGUUAGCAAGGGCCGGGCAAGACCGGUGCCAGCCGCCGCGGUAACACCGGCGGCCCGAGUGGUGAUCGUGAUUAUUGGGUCUAAAGGGUCCGUAGCCGGUUUGGUCAGUCCUCCGGGAAAUCUGACAGCUCAACUGUUAGGCUUUCGGAGGAUACUGCCAGACUUGGAACCGGGAGAGGUAAGAGGUACUACAGGGGUAGGAGUGAAAUCUUGUAAUCCCUGUGGGACCACCUGUGGCGAAGGCGUCUUACCAGAACGGGUUCGACGGUGAGGGACGAAAGCUGGGGGCACGAACCGGAUUAGAUACCCGGGUAGUCCCAGCCGUAAACGAUGCUCGCUAGGUGUCAGGCAUGGCGCGACCGUGUCUGGUGCCGCAGGGAAGCCGUGAAGCGAGCCACCUGGGAAGUACGGCCGCAAGGCUGAAACUUAA
rnacentral:rRNA from 1 species